rnacentral:rRNA from 1 species
AUUGAACGCUGGCAGCAUGCCUUACACAUGCAAGUCGAACGGCAGCACGGGAGCAAUCCUGGUGGCGAGUGGCGAACGGGUGAGUAAUAUAUCGGAACGUGCCCAGUCGUGGGGGAUAACGCAGCGAAAGCUGUGCUAAUACCGCAUACGAUCUAUGGAUGAAAGCGGGGGAUCGCAAGACCUCGCGCGAUUGGAGCGGCCGCUAUCAGAUUAGCUAGUUGGUGAGGCAAAGGCUCACCAAGGCGACGAUCUGUAGCUGGUCUGAGAGGCCGACCAGCCACACUGGAACUGAGACACGGUCCAGACUCCUACGGGAGGCAGCAGUGGGGAAUUUUGGACAAUGGGCGAAAGCCUGAUCCAGCAAUGCCGCGUGCAGGAUGAAGGCCUUCGGGUUGUAAACUGCUUUUGUACGGAACGAAACGGUGAGCUCUAAUACAGUUUGCUAAUGACGGUACCGUAAGAAUAAGCACCGGCUAACUACGUGCCAGCAGCCGCGGUAAUAC